rnacentral:rRNA from 1 species
AGCAGCCGCGGUAAUACGAAGGGACCUAGCGUAGUUCGGAAUUACUGGGCUUAAAGAGUUCGUAGGUGGUUGAAAAAGUUGGUGGUGAAAUCCCAGAGCUUAACUCUGGAACUGCCAUCAAAACUUUUCAGCUAGAGUAUGAUAGAGGAAAGCAGAAUUUCUAGUGUAGAGGUGAAAUUCGUAGAUAUUAGAAAGAAUACCAAUUGCGAAGGCAGCUUUCUGGAUCAUUACUGACACUGAGGAACGAAAGCAUGGGUAGCGAAGAGGAUUAGAUACCCUCGUAGUCCAUGCCGUAAACGAUGUGUGUUAGACGUUGGAAAUUUAUUUUCAGUGUCGCAGCGAAAGCGAUAAACACACCGCCUGGGGAGUACGACCGCAAGGUUAAAACUCAAAUGAAUUGACGGGGACCCGCACAAGUAGUGGAGCAUGUGGUUUAAUUCGAAGAUACGCGCAGAACCUUACCAACACUUGACAUGUUCGUCGCGACUUUAAGAGAUUAAAGUUUUCGGUUCGGCCGGACGAAACACAGGUGCUGCAUGGCUGUCGUCAGCUCGUGUCGUGAGAUGUUGGGUUAAGUCCCGCAACGAGCGCAACCCUCACUUUUAGUUGCCAUCAUUAAGUUGGGCACUCUGAAAGAACUGCCAGUGAUAAGCUGGAGGAAGGUGGGGAUGACGUCAAGUCCUCAUGGCCCUUACGUGUUGGGCUACACACGUGCUACAAUGGUAUCUACAACAGGAAGCAAAACUGCGAAGUUAAGCAAAUCCUUAAAAGAUACCUCAGUUCGGAUUGCACUCUGCAACUCGAGUGCAUGAAGCUGGAAUUACUAGUAAUCGUGGAUCAGCGUGCCACGGUGAAUGCGUUCCCGGGUCUUGUACACACCGCCCGUCACACCAUGGGAGUUGGUUCUACCUUAAGGCAAGGUUUAAAACCCUUGACCACGGUAUAGUCAGCGACUGGGGUGAAGUCGUAACAAGGUAGCCG